GUAUUUAGUGUUUAUUUUAUCUUUUAUAGAUUUAUUUAAAUGUUUGUAUUUUAUUUCAGUUGGGUCGGUUUGAACUGGAUCAUGUUUUAAAAGAUCUCACACCACCUGUGAUGAACAUUUAAAAUAUAGGCAUGAAGACAUGCAGUGGAACAAUUUUACUUGCAAACUUGUUUUGAAACACUUAAGCCAAAGGUACGAGGGGAGGUCCAAAAGUUCGCGGAAUGGAGGGGAUGGAGUGGGGAUAGGGUAGCUC